rnacentral:lncRNA from 1 species
AUCUCAUUUAAUUUCAUCCGUUUGAUCUAAGAUCAACAGUCCACGUUAUUAGGCUUUGUAAAUUAAAAAAAAAAAACAGUUUAAAAAUCUAAAAUGUUACCGUUGUGACACAUGGCACAAUCUGGAGUGUUGGAAUUUAAAUUUUUUUAAAAUCCAACGGCAAAGAUUAAUUAGGUGAAUAAAAAUUUAAAAAAAAUUAUGAAAAAUUAUAAAAAAUUUUGAUUUUACUUUUCUAUAAAUACCUUCUCAUUAUCUUCUACCCUACACCACAAUUUCAUAUUUUCUCAACUACUUUCAACCACAUUCCUAUCUUUCUCUCAAAGUUUCAAUCCAAUUUUUUUCCAACAAAAUGACUACUCAAGCAGGUACGAAUUGGACGCUUCUUGAAGAUGUUGUGUUGUGUACUAGUUGGGUUCAAGUUACUCAUAAUUCGAUUACGGGUAAUGAGAUGCAGUUGUGAGAAAUGUGGAGUCUUAUUCAUACCAAUUAUCUUGAGAAA